UGAAAUAAAUUUAAAAUAGAUACGUCAGUAGAAAGCUCUGUGAUGAUAGUAAUAUCGAUCAUCAAAGCAGUUUAUCAUGGACCAAUAGCCGGAUUACUACCUCCCACUUUGAAGGGUAUGCGUUUGCAAUCGAGGAACAGGAAAUGUCAACCAAGUACCUGAUGCACAAAAGGG